GCGACACUAUCUUCGGGAGGGUGUAUGUCUCCAAAAAAAAAAAACUUCGGGAGGGUGGUACUGGCGGGGAUUCUGCUGGAUCAUCGACGACCAUCUUCGGGAGCCGGCGCGACCGGCUGCAGAUAACUUUUACCUGCGGUGUUUCGUCACUGGAGAAUUUCAGAUAGGCAACACUGCUCUCUGGAACUCGCAACUUGAGCAUGUUAUGGGCUCUGUGACGAUGGAGGCAUGGUGGUGUGAGUGGUAGCGAGAGUAAAGGAAAUGGUGGUGCAGCGCCCUGUGGAACCAGUAAUAGAGAAAUUCAACAGGUCCUAUGUGAAGCAACGCCAUGAUGAUGGCUCCCUUUGUUUCCCACAUUGGCAUGAGCCUGACGCUCGGGAUGGUUGCAUAGGCCAAGUAGAAAAACAGCGUCAUGAGGAUGAUCUGGUCAUCCCUGUACAGAAUGGUAUGUGCCAGUUAAUUUGAGUGUGAUAGAAGUGAAUAGCAGGACGUGUGCAUAUAUGGCUUACCAGGAGCUCUCCCGGUCCACCUGCUCGAAUUCAAGACCGCGGUCAACGAUGAUGUGCUUCCUGCGUGCGGUUUGGUGGCGAGACAAGCUGAUCCAGAUCUGGUUGUGGAUCAUCCUCAGAAGCAGAGCUGGUAGCAUGGUGGUGUAUGCUGUAUCCAUGUCUCCCCACCCACUGGUGACCACCCUGUGCGCAGUGUGCAAUGCCGCAGGUGCUAAGACCAGGUGGUAAUCAGAUCUUUGAUUGUUCGGAAGCUAUUGCCGUGGCUUCAAGCUUGCAAACUUCUACGUAUUGAAGAGAAAAGGAGGUUUGUUUAUGUCCAUUCAGUUGGUUAUUGUGUGUGAACUGUGUGAAAAGUAAAGCUAUUGUCGGCGGUUCAUAUUAGAUCACAAAGGCCAAUGAAUGCAAACGGUCCAAGGUUUCAUGAGAAUGGCAUGAUCUGCCCAGCAAUACAUCUUUAUGAUUUGGUUGCUGCUAUCAGGGAUUUUACCGGUGCCUAUAUUAUCGUACCCUGGUCGUUAUCCACCGUGCAAGAAGCAUGCAAAGGAAUUUGUCAAAGUUUUUCUGGAUCAUGUGAAAAACUGAAAAGUACUCAGGGAAUCAGCAACAUGGGACUGAAACGCUUAUGCUAGAAUAUACUAUUUACAAUUCAAAAUACAGGUAGUUUUAUUUAAUUGAUAACAGAAUAGUCUUGAGUGUUCACUACGACAUGCAAGUUUUGCUGCAAUUCCUGUUCCACCUGACUUCAGUACUGGGACAUUAUGAUGCGUAUAAAACUUUAUUUAAUGCAUACUUUUUGAAGGAAAUAUAUGAAUAUCCUCAUUGAAGUAGUUAGUUUAUUUUUUUGGUCGCUCAAUCAUAUGAUGUUCCUAAAUUUGCAAACAUGAAUUUAGCUAGAUAAAAUAAAACAUUAUGUCCUACAUUUCUGAACCAAAAACAAAUAUCAGAAAGGAACACUCCAAACAGACAGUAGCACGUAAAGU